CAGCCUAGACUCGCAGCUCCCUUAAAGCCGCAGCCACGGAGGACGCUUGGGAUGCCAGGCAGCAGCUACGACACAGGGCACUAGACACUCUCCGCACGCUGCCCCCCGCCCCUCUCGCUCGACUGCCCCAAACUUGCUCGCGCCCACCUGACUUUCCUCCUGCCGACCUCAGGCUAUCAGGAAAGAGGUGAAAAGUGUAGUGACGCGGAAGAAGUCGGUUUUUCCGAGAUCCAGUCAAGGUGUUGUCCCUCAUACUCUCCACCUGCAGCGCCAGUAAUUGAGCUUCGGGAUUCCAGACCCCGAACCCAGAAAGACUCGAAUUCGCCGCCGCUCCAGGUAGGGGAACUCCCUGGCGGCGGGGGCGACUUCGGUGCUCAGUAGUCCCCUGCGCAGAGCGGCCCCCGGGACCCCGCAGCCGGGAGUCCUCGCAAAGUGUCCCAACUUUCCCGCGGGGCCCGCCGUCACGCGCGCUGUCCGGGCCAGGCGAGCAGUCUGGCAUUGAUCGCAUCGGGCCGAACGCAGGCGGCAGGCAGGAGCGAGGGGAGUCCCGGACCUAGCUAGCGCCGGGGCAGGCGAGGAGGCGGCGGCUCAGCCUGCGCUGACAAAUUAUUCAUUAUUAAAGGAAUGGACGUGUGUCUUUUACUAAGUUUUUACCUCCUUUACGGAGGGCCGGUCUUGCCCUGGAUCUCAGCUUCUUGUAAAAUCUAGGUUAGAUUUUGCAGGGACAGCCGCUGCGAUCUCUUGCCUGCCGCCCAGCACCCCUGCCCGGAGGCGGCCCGGCAGGCACCUGGUCUCGUGCCCACAGCCCACCUCGGUUCGCCCACUCGCGCCCUCUACGCGGACCAUGCCUUCCCCAGGGCCCCCUCUGCGCUCCCCGGACCCCCUCCCGCCGCUGUCAGCGCAAAGUGACUGUCGCUGCACUCACCUUUUCUAGGACAUGGUGGGGAAGCUGGGGCGCGGGGCGGGGGGUGAGGGGGUGGGUGGGGUGAGGGCAGCGAGACUCCCGCCGCCGCCGCCGCUGCCGCCGCCACCAGCAAGUCCAAUAUUACCAGAUCGGCGGUAAGGAUGGAGAGGAUGAUAAUCCCGGCAGUCGCCCUACUGACGACAAGAAGUGGUCCUGUGCUACCCUAAGGGAGAACAGCUCCAGGAUAAGGUCUGUGGCUCCCUCAUCUGAAGAGAAGGUGACGUUUUGCUUGGAAUCACCCCAUAAGUGAUGCCCCCUGAGAGACUCCAUCAAAGAUGAGGAUGCAGGGUUUUCUAGUUGUUUGGAAUACUCUGUGUCAAUGCUUGUUAAUAAAGAGCCCU